rnacentral:lncRNA from 1 species
AGCUACCUAAAACAGCACCACCUGCUAGUUGACUUCAAAACAUGAGCCUUCAAGACUCCAAAUAUUAUGAGAGACCUUUCUCAUUCAAAGCACUCUUGGAGCUUGAACUGGGCUUACUGUGGUCCUGGGCUGCAUAGGAAAGCAGGCUGAGCAAGACAUAGAGAGGAAGACAACAAGUACCACUCCAUGGCCUACUUCAGUUCCUGCUUUGAAUUACUGCCUUGACUUCUCAAGAUAAUGGACUACAAAUGGAUAUGGGAGGCUUGAGCAAAUACUAUGAAUCUCUCAAGGAGCUAUGGAUUACCUUAAAAGGCUAGACAACAGAGCCACGGCACAGGAAGUCUGCCCUGGAUGCUAUCCUGCUGGGAAUUGGCCCUCUGAAACAGAUCCAUCCACCCGAUGAGUCAUGACAUUAAAAAUGAUGAAGGAAAUGGACUGGUCCCCAGACAAACAGCUCGGGGCAAUACGAUUCCUGCAUCCAAAGGACUAUGGGUUACAGACACCUCUCUCUUCUGGGAUACAACGUGUAAAAGCCGGAUUGAGAUCUCUAUGCCUGUUCUUCAACUGCUGUGGCUACCACUAUUCCAAGAGACAGAAUAAGAAAGUUAAAGACAACAAGAAAUGGGUCUGUAAGGCCCGAAGUGAGUGGUGUGGCAAACGACUGGACUCACUCACAUGAAUAUAAGGCUAAUCCAUUCAGGAACAGACUAAGUCUCGUCCUGACCUACUUGUCGUUUUUCUGUAAAGACCACUCGAGGUUUUAUCAACUUGAUCAACAGUAAGAGAAAUGCCAAGAUUUCAGGCUGUGGACUGUGUUCCAGUGGCAAGCAGCAGAGAUCCAUGUUUAGCUUGUGUUUCCUUGUGAUUCAAGGGCCCAUGGCAUGUCUCUGGAUAAGCAGAUUGCCAUGGAUCGAGGUACUCGGCCCUGAGUGGAGAGAGUGAGGGAAUGAAGAACAGACAAACAGACAAACAGGCAGGCACAAGGAAAGCUGGGAUCAGAUUAUUAACACGGUGGCAGAAGGAGAAGCUAUAAAUAAAACAAGCUUUAUCCAAAUUAGGAAGAGCUAACAAAGACAACUCAGAAAGUGAAAGUGAACCAAGAAGAUUGCGUUGCUCUCAAGAAACGAUGUUAAUUAAAACUUUAGAAAGCAUGAUAA